AGGACGAACGCUGGCGGCGUGCUUAACACAUGCAAGUCGAGCGGAAAGGCCCUUCGGGGUACUCGAGCGGCGAACGGGUGAGUAACACGUGAGCAACCUGCCCCUGGCUCUGGGAUAGCCUUCGGAAACGGGGAUUAAUACCGGAUAUUCACUGCUUCCUGCAUGGGGGGUGGUGGAAAGUUUUUCGGCUGGGGUGGGCUCGCGGCCUAUCAGCUUGUUGGGGGGGUGACGGCCCACCAAGGCGACGACGGGUAGCCGGCCUGAGAGGGCGACCGGCCACACUGGGACUGAGACACGGCCCAGACUCCUACGGGAGGCAGCAGUGGGGAAUAUUGCGCAAUGGGCGGAAGCCUGACGCAGCGACGCCGCGUGCGGGAUGAAGGCCUUCGGGUUGUAAACCGCUUUCACCAGGGACGAAGCGAGAGUGACGGUACCGUGGGGAAGAAGGCGCCGGCUAACUACGUGCCAGCAGCCGC
rnacentral:rRNA from 1 species